GGAGUAUGGGCCGUGUCUCAGUCCCAUUGUGGCCGUUCACCCUCUCAGGUCGGCUACACAUCCUCGCCUUGGUGGGCUGUUAUCUCACCAACUAGCUAAUGUGCCGCAGGUCCAUCUAAGAGUGUCGCAAACGCGACUUUCAAGCGGAGAUCAUGCGAUCUUCGUUGUUAUCCGGUAUUAGCCAAACUUUCGUCUGGGUAUCCCAGUCUCAAAGGCAGGUUACCUACGUGUUACUCACCCGUUCGCCGCUCGGUAGCAAGCUACCUCGCUCGACUUGCAUGUAUUAGGCACGCCGCCAGCGUUCAUC
rnacentral:rRNA from 1 species